AAUACAAAAGCUGUCCCCAAAGAAUGCAACCGAAUGUAUAUAUAUAAGCUCGAAAUCAAAUACAAGACAAUGAAAGGUAAUCUCAUCACCGAACAGAGGCUAAAAUGGCAGCCACUACUAUAUAAUAUAUAUAGCCAGAAUGUAACAACAUGUUCAAAUUUAAAAAAAAAAAAUAAAGAAGCUGAGAAGUCUAAAGUAGCCACCAGAAAACACUCCAUCCAAAGACCAACAUCCCACCCAUCUUCUGCAUUGACAACAGCCUUUCUACUCCACUCACAUCUGUGCCAGCUGGUCCUGGAGAGAUUGAACCCAAAAUGGGUGCGGGAGCCCCCGUGGGUGGAGCUGGUGGACUCGGCGCCAAGGGAGAUGGAGCUGGAGCCUU
rnacentral:misc_RNA from 1 species